GGAGCAGUUCGCAGGACAGCAAUCCCAUAUACCGUAGCUCAUUUCAGAUCGUAGGCUGCAACUCGCCUACGUGAAGGAGGAAUCGCUAGUAAUCGCAGGUCAGCAUACUGCGGUGAAUACGUUCCCGGGCCUUGUACACACCGCCCGUCACACCAUGGAAGUUGGCCAUGCCCGAAGCCGUUACUCCAACCCUUGUGGAGGAGGACGUCGAAGGUGGGGCUGAUGACUGGGGUGAAGUCGUAACAAGGUAGCCGUACCGGAAGGUGCGGCUGGAUCACCUCCUAA
rnacentral:rRNA from 1 species